GACGUAGGGCGCGAGCGUUGUCCGGAUUUAUUGGGCGUAAAGAGCUCGUAGGCGGCUUGUCGCGUCGUCCGUGAAAACUUGGGGCUCAACCCCAAGCUUGCGGUCGAUACGGGCAGGCUAGAGUUCGGUAGGGGAGACUGGAAUUCCUGGUGUAGCGGUGAAAUGCGCAGAUAUCUGGAGGAACACCGGCGGCGAAGGCGACAUCCUGGACCGGUAUUGACGCUGAGGCGCGAAAGCCAGGGGAGCAAACGGG
rnacentral:rRNA from 1 species